GAUGAACGCUGGCGGCGUGCCUAAUACAUGCAAGUCGAGCGAAUGGAUUAAGAGCUUGCUCUUAUGAAGUUAGCGGCGGACGGGUGAGUAACACGUGGGUAACCUGCCCAUAAGACUGGGAUAACUCCGGGAAACCGGGGCUAAUACCGGAUAACAUUUUGAACCGCAUGGUUCGAAAUUGAAAGGCGGCUUCGGCUGUCACUUAUGGAUGGACCCGCGUCGCAUUAGCUAGUUGGUGAGGUAACGGCUCACCAAGGCAACGAUGCGUAGCCGACCUGAGAGGGACAUCGGCCACACUGGGACUGAGACACGGCCCAGACUCCUACGGGAGGCAGCAGUAGGGAAUCUUCAGCAAUGGACGAAAGUCUGACGGAGCAACGCCGCGUGAGUGAUGAAGGCUUUCGGGUCGUAAAACUCUGUUGUUAGGGAAGAACAAGUGCUAGUUGAAUAAGCUGGCACCCUUACGGUACCUAACCAGAAAGCCACGGCUAACUACGUGCCAGCCGCCGCAGUAA
rnacentral:rRNA from 1 species